AAGGGAGGAACUUCAAGAAGAAGAAUGAAGUGGCCAAGACAUGCUAUGGAGAACUUAAAUAAGAUAAAGCCUCAGAGUUGUCCCUGGGUCUUGUGACGUGGAAGACUUUGUGAUGCUUACAAGAACUGCUAGUGGCAUGGGUGAGGCCUCAUAGGAGUGUGCUGAGAAUGAAGGACAAGUUACAAGGGAAGACAACCAAAGAUGACAUCUUCCUGAUGCUUGGUCCUUGAAGGAAUGAGAGAGGAAAGGAAAUAGACACAGGAUAAAGGGCAAGUGCUUGAAAAUGGGAGGCAUUGGAACACUUUGAGUAAUGAAUGAAAAGAAGCUAGUAGAGAAGGAGGAGUUGAAAAUGAAGCAGAGAAAGGCUAAAUUAUGGAGCUAUGUCCAUUAAGGUCAGGAGAGCGGGGGUCCAUUGAUAAGUCUUGAGUGAGCUUUAAACAAGGAGAACGUGGUUUUUCUUCAAAGCGAAAUGGAGAGAGGAGGUUAAAGAUCUCUGAAUUUUGGAUGAGAAUGCAUGGCUGUGUGAUUUGACCUGAAUUAGCCGGCAAAAAGAAAUCUUCAGAUUUUAAACUACUAAGUGCAACAAAAUAAUGACAUCUUUUGCAAACAUUACAAGAUAAUAGGAGGUGGUCUGGUCAUUUAUGAAACAAUGAGAUAUAUGGAAAUGUUGUGUUCUGAAUUGCCCGCGUGAGACGGCCGUGUCCCAGCAAACGGCUGACCACUCUAGUUCCGCAGCAUGAUAACUUGUGGAUAACUUUUCUCCAGUCGGCUUUUUCAAGGUCAAGAUUGAGGGUGAUCCUGAGAAGAGAGCCGUGGCCACCGCCUACACCCCGUUCCCAGCCAACUGUCUAAAGAUGUGUGCUGAUGUUCACAUGUUAGAGGACGAGCAGAAAUUAGGCAGGGACAAGUGCAAAUGUACCUCUGAGAGUGACAGGCUACUUCACCGUCUACCUACUCCGGCCCAGAAGAUGGCAAAUCUGUGGCAUCAUCUCCAUAAAGGAAGGGGCGUCUGUUAUUGUAGACGCCAAUUAGUGAGGCGAAAAAAGAAUUGCUAGUUUGAAAGCACUUUGUCACUUCGAAAGUCAAGCUCAGCAAACAGGGGCACAUACAAUGCAAUUUUGAAAUACUGCAUAACUGUCAUAUUCUGGCAAGUUUGGCAAUAUUUCCAUUUAUGUGAAAGUGUGUGAUGCUAAUUUUUACUGUACUUAUAUCUAGGUGCUUCUGUUGAUAAUUGGCCAGAAGUUAAAAGGCUCUAUGUAGUUAAGCCAAAAUUCCAUCCACACAAAUGAAAUAAAGGAUAUUUACUUCGGCUCCUAUUUUAUCAUGUGAGGCAGCUAUGGAUUCCAGCUAGACACAGUGUAUAUUUUCCCCUAGACUUGAUGUUCUUUAACGUUAACACGGCAACAGAUCACAGGAUUUAUUUUCCCCUGUAGAAUCUACUGCAAGCUGCAACUACCUUGUUUUCCUGAAUUCCACUUACAGCAGUACUUUGUCUUAGGAAAUUGAGUUAGAAUUGAGUGUGGUUGUGAAACAUAUAAAUAGUAUGUCUUGAUGAACUACGGGGCUUGGCAAAAGUGGUUUCCAUCUAGGGCGGAUACAAGUCAAGAUGGGAAGAUGAUCUUUUAUACCUAAUUGAUAAAAGAUUUCUCUGUGCACCCUGCAGAUCAUUGACUCUCAUAAGCGAAAGUGGGAGCUUAUUAGGCAUUGGCAAACAGUAGUACUUUGGCCUAGAAAAAGUAAUUAUGGAGAAGCUUUAUCCGUAGGGCAAUGGAGCUCACAGAGAAUUUAGGAACAAAACAGUUUGUCACGUAGUUUCUUUCCUUUGUAGAAAUCCAUUCCUUGUCCAGUCAAUUUUACUACGUACUACCUUACCAUGUUGCUACAUUUUUGGGGUGUGUUUAAAGAUCGACACCCGGAGUGGCAUAAAGCUAACAGGAGCCCACAUAAUUCAAGCAUUGAUUUUAAUUGUCCUGUGCUUUUGCAAUGCCAAUUUAGAUUUCAUUUUGAAAGCUUGAAUUUUUAAUGAGUUAUUAUUACUUUGUAUUAGUCCAUGGCUAGAGUCUUAGAAGUUUUGAAGGCAUUGAUAGGUUUCAUUUUUUGCAGUUUUCAAGCAGAUUACAGAGAAAUAAAUGUUCGGUAUGGAGUCUCCCAUCCAAUGGCAUCAAAAACUCCACAAAAAGCCCCUGUGAAGUUGAGUUUUAUUUUUAACUCGGUGGAAAUUCACUACUAAUUCAUAAUAGAUGGCUUAUCCAUUACAAUAAAUGCACGGGCUCAUUA